GUGCCAGCAACUGCGGUAAUACGGAGGGUGCAAGCGUUAAUCGGAAUUACUGGGCGUAAAGCGCACGCAGGCGGUCUGACAAGUCGGAUGUGAAAUCCCCGGGCUCAACCCGGGAACUGCAUUCGAAACUGUCAGGCUGGAGUCUUGUAGAGGGGUAGAAUUCCAGGUGUAGCGGUGAAAUGCGUAGAGAUCUGGAGGAAUACCGGUGCGAAGGCGGCCCCUGGACAAAGACUGACG
rnacentral:rRNA from 1 species